rnacentral:lncRNA from 1 species
GAUUUGUAUCCCUAUAAGAAAAGAGGUCAUUGCCUGAGAGAUCCCAAAGGGCUUCCUGCACCUCCUUUGUGUGGCCUCACUGACUUAAUCCAGAAAUUGCACUCUCUUCUUUCCAUGAGGAGCUUCUUGCCAGCAGCAGUACAGGUAAUGACAAGAGGAAUAAUCAAUAGAUAAAGUUAAAAUGGAGACAUUACGGUAUUAAUCCCCAACUCUACACACUUUUUAAAAAGGCCUAAUCUUUUCCCUCAGGACCCAUUCCAUUUCUUAGGCAGGAAAAGGUGGCAGUGGCUCAGCCGCCAUUGGUGAUGGCUGAGUUCCUGCCUAUUUGCACCAUUGGGGAUAAUUAGAGCGAAAUGAAACUGCAAACAUCAAUAGAGGUUUGGGGUGGGAGGGAGGCUAUAAAGAAUUUCAGUUAGAAAUCUUGAGAUUUGUUCCUGUUCCUUACAGUGAAAUAUAGAUUUUAAUGCCCUAUAGACACUAAAACCACAACUCCAGUUCUAAGAAUUUAAAACACAAAAGAAACAGGGGGUUAGGUUUUAAAGUACAAAAUUUAGAGGAAAUGAGUAGAAGGUUGAAAUAGAAAAAACACAACAUAUGUGGUUCGGAAGCAGAAAAGUCCCCAAGCUAAGAGCCACAUUAACAACUCUGAGUGAACAUUGAAUUCUGAAGUCCCCAAACCCCAAGUGCCAGACCCCAGGCCCCCAAAGCCUGAAUACCUUGCUGAAAGCACAUUGUCUCCAGAGCAAGAGAGACUUUCUUAGUUGUUGUUUAGUCCUCUUCUCAGU